rnacentral:lncRNA from 1 species
GGAUCCUUCAGGAAGGGCUCUGGCUGGUGCAUUCCUUGGGAUAAACUCUCCUUUGCUUACCAAAUAGACUGGCCUGAGGUCAGAGGUGCCACUGGAGAGCCGGGUCCCCUGAGACAUGGAGAGGUCACAAGGCUGACAGAUGGGGGUGCAGCUGUGCCAUCACUACACCCUGAAGAAUUCCCUGCACUGCCUGUCUCAGUGCCUCCAUCAUUAGCAGGAGGAAUCCUGUUGACAAGACAAUUUUUAUUCAGUAGUGUACAGUUUUUAAAAACUUUUUAAACCUCACAGGUACAUUAUAUAGGAGUCAGAGGCUACUCAGCUCUACAUGUAGACAUGGGGAUCAUUUGGGAGACGUCUGGAUAAGAACUAGAUUCCAGGGAUAACUCAAUUGAGACUUUAACUCCACUUCCAUCAAAGCCAAAGACCGAUGCGAGCUGCCAUGAGCCACCAGACCGUGACAAGAGUGAAAUGAGAUGUCACCUGAGUUCCUGGAAGAUGACUAGUUCCAGAAAGAAUGUGACUCUUCCUCCUCCCAUUAGCCUAUCUCUUCCUCAUUCAUCCUACCCCCCAUCUGUGACUUCCUGACCCAUCACUGUGGUGAGAGGUUCACUGGACAGGAGGCCUCUGCCUUGGCUGGAGCGAGGGGAGAGAGAUCGCGCAGGAUGACAGCCUUUCUUUAAAUGGGAGUUGCAGACCCAGAGGACAAAGAAAACUGGCUGAAGACCAUGGUGGUCUUGACUACUGUCUGAGGGAAUUUCAGUCCACUUGGCUGCUCACUGAGUCCUCAGCUGAUUCCCCUUCCAUCUUACCAUCUGUUUCCUCCUCCCCUCCAGCGUGGACACCCUGGCACUUUGUGAGGAAAUCCUCUCGAAGACACUGCUGCUGAAUGGUGUCUCACACAUGCUCCCCAGGGCCAGAACCCAGGUGCUAACUUUCUUUCCACCCUGCCGCCUCGUCAAGGCCUCAGGCAGACACAGGACAUCCUCAGGCGGACACAGGACAUCCUCAGGCAAGGGGAACACAGAAAGUGAUGGGAUGGGGUGAAGACAGAAGGUGACGGGAGGCCGAAAGCCUGGGAGAGAAUCUGAUGGUGAUCUGGAGGCUCCUUCUACCUGUUGCCAGCACCCUGCUCCUGCCUUUUCUUGGGGCCCUGACCCUGAGGAGACCACUUCCUCUAGCUUCUACUUUGUAGGACCGAAAGUUCUGUACAGUUUGGCAGGAAGAGCGACUCAUUGUGCCUCUUAACUGACCCCAGUGUUACCCUUGACACCUCCCAACUGUGUGACCUGGAGCCCCGCAUCUCUCCUCCCCUGUCACACGAGUACAGAGUCUCCUGCAUUGUAGUGAGGAUCAAGUAGAACAUGCGGACUUUGCCAGGCCAGUGCCUAUCCCUUCAUAUGUCCUUCCUGAGUGUGGGUUUCUCCCCUACCUGGACCCUGUUAGCUUCAGGUGAAAAUGGCUCCCAACAUCGGUGCCACACUUAGAGCUGUGUGUGGGCACCUGGCCUGCACUGCCAGUGAUGUGCCCCUGCUUACCAAGUGUGACUGUCUCAGGCAGGGACUGACUCAAAUUAUCUCAUGGAAAAUAAAAGUAUGCACCAGCCACAAUGACCCACACAGGUAACCCCAGCACUUGGACAAGCUGAGGCAGGAGG